rnacentral:tRNA from 1 species
GGAGCCGUAGUUCAGCCUGGCCUAGAACGCCUGCCUGUCACGCAGGAGGUCGUGGGUUCGAAUCCCAUCGGCUCCG